rnacentral:rRNA from 1 species
UACCAGCACCCCGAGUGGUCGGGACGAUUAUUGGGCCUAAAGCAUCCGUAGCCGGUUUUACAAGUCCUCCGUUAAAUCCAGCUGCUUAACAGAUGGGCUGCGGAGGAUACUAUAGGACUAGGAGGCAGGAGAGGCAAGCGGUACUCAGUGGGUAGGGGUAAAAUCCAUUGAUCUACUGAAGACCACCAGUGGCGAAGGCGGUUUGCCAGAACGCGCUCGACGGUGAGGGAUGAAAGCUGGGGGAGCAAACCGG